GAAUGAGUAGAGUGGCGCACGGGUGAGUAACGCGUGGAUAAUCUACCGGGGAGUGGGGAAUAACAGUUGGAAACGGCUGCUAAUACCGCAUACGCUGCAUAUAUAUCUAUGCAGGAAAGGGGGCCUCUGCAUAUGCUUCCGCUUUUCGAUGAGUCCGCGUCCCAUUAGCUUGUUGGCGGGGUAACGGCCCACCAAGGCGACGAUGGGUAGCUGGUCUGAGAGGAUGACCAGCCACACUGGGACUGGAACACGGCCCAGACUCCUACGGGAGGCAGCAGUGGGGAAUAUUGCGCAAUGGGCGAAAGCCUGACGCAGCGACGCCGCGUGAGGGAUGAAGGUUUUCGGAUCGUAAACCUCUGUCAGAAGGGAAGAAGUUGCAUGGGGCCAAUCACCUGUGCAUUGACGGUACCUUCAAAGGAAGCACCGGCUAACUCCGUGCCAGCAGCCGCGGUAAUACGGAGGGUGCGAGCGUUAAUCGGAAUUACUGGGCGUAAAGCGCACGUAGGCUGUAUGUCAAGUCAAGGGUGAAAUCCCACGGCUCAACCGUGGAACUGCCUUUGAAACUGGCAAACUGGAGUAUGUGAGAGGGCGGCGGAAUUCCUGGUGUAGGAGUGAAAUCCGUAGAUAUCAGGAGGAACAUCAGUGGCGAAGGCGGCCGCCUGGCACAAAACUGACGCUGAGGUGCGAAAGCGUGGGUAGCAAACAGGAUUAGAUACCCUGGUAGUCCACGCUGUAAACGAUGGAUACUGGGUGUUGGGUUUUAUUGACUCGGCGCCGUAGCUAACGCGUUAAGUAUCCCGCCUGGGGAGUACGGUCGCAAGGCUGAAACUCAAAGAAAUUGACGGGGGCCCGCACAAGCGGUGGAGUAUGUGGUUUAAUUCGAUGCAACGCGAAGAACCUUACCAAGGCUUGACAUCCAGGGAACCCAUGUGAAAGCGUGGGGUACUCUUCGGAGGACCCUGAGACAGGUGCUGCAUGGCUGUCGUCAGCUCGUGUCGUGAGGUGUU
rnacentral:rRNA from 1 species